GCCAAUCCCCUCCACGCGCGCGCACCCAAUCCCAUCCUCGUCUCGCCUCAGCCGCCCCUGCACAAACCCUAGCCCCUUUUCUCCUCGACCCCCAUAGCCGCCGCAACCCUCCCGCUCCGUCUCCCCUCCCUUCCCACCUCCCCUGUCAGCGGCCGCCGCCACUCCACCUCCUUCUCUGUCACCGGCGGCCAGCUCAUCCCACUGCCUCGUGCUCGCCGCUGACCAUGGAUCCACCAUGGACGGAGGGUGUCAAGAGGGGAAGGAAGUCUUCGGCUUCGCAGGCAGCGCUGGCGGACGAGCACACUCGCAUGUCCUCUUCCUGGGCGAGCCAACUCAGAUGUGGAAGGCACCUCGAGCAUGGGAGGAGUGACCACGGCUAGGCAUCACGGGUUGGCCGAGGUGAGGAACAGGCAUCCAGAAUUCCAGAUUGUUAUAUAGGGGUGGGUGUUCUCGGCCAGCGUUGGGCGUUCUCGCUGACUCUCUGUCUAACCUAUCCAUAGGUAUACUAGCCCAUUUUUGUUUAUUUGAUUUUCCUUUCCAAGUGCAUGCUUUAGUUUAUCCUGGUUUGCGAACCUUUUUUAUGCUACCUUGGUGGUCGAUGCAGAAUCACAAAUGCAAAACGAGAGGUGCGGAUGUGAGGAUAGACCUAUGAUAUAGUUUUACAACUUUGUUCUUGUUAAAAGAACUACUCUAUAUAUUUGCUGCAAGUUAAUUGUGAGGAUAUGACACCUUAUAGAAAUGACACCUUAGUGUUUCUUGCUUCCAUCUGCAUUGUUGCAUGCCGUGAUUGUGUUCUGACAAGUUCUUUUCUGUAUUUUACACGUUGUAUGAUCUCAUCCGUUGCGGCAUCUCCGUUCUGCUCGUUGCUUCAUCGCUGUUGCUAUUUUUGAGAUAUCUAAGCUGAUGUCUCAAAUAGUUCAGAACAACCAGUCGGAACUGCAGGAGCCAUCUUCACCUUAAUCUGAAAAUAGAAGGUUUUCCUUUUGCUAGACCUCUGAAAAAUCUGCAGUGGAGUAACCGCUCACAUUACCUAUUGCUCUGGUUUUUUAAGGUAAUUGCAGCUGGCAAAGCUUGCACUAAUGUUUUGAGUUCAAUCGUUCGCUGUGUGGAUGCUACAUAAUUCUAAUAGUUCUGUGGAACACUUGUUCUGGUCUGGUCAUCUGGUAAUUUUCUUUUUUGCAGCUUAACUGUUGUAGGGUAGACAGACUAUACAUACUGAAGAAAUGUCCCCGUCCGACAGUCCUUCAUGCUCAGUUGUAGUGAUAGCGUUGGGUACUAUGUGCACCCUUUCAUGUAAUUGUGUUACCCUGACAAAAUUUAUAACUAUGAUCUCUCAUAUCUUAUUCUGAGUUUAAGGAAAUAACUGGAGUAAUGUUAAUGAUCCAGUGUUGAGAAUAAAAAAAGGUGGAAGCACAUUGAGUGGCUUUAGUUUUGUUACCUGACGUAUAAUGUACCUUUAGUUUUUGAGUGAAGAUCCUUAUGUACACAUAAGUUGUAUCUAAAACUUUCAGCUAUAUAAGUAAAACAAAGAAUUUCAAAACUUACACCUCUUUUUUUCCAUGAGCUGUUGAAGCUUGAUUGAUAGUUUUCCAACUCUGAUGAAGUGGUUAGGAUGAUCAGGUUUUGCACAUUCUGGAGAUUUUUAUACCUUCUGUAAAAUGCACAAUUAUGGAUUCAGAUAAACUGGGAGUGGUGCAUGCCAUUGUAUUGUGUUCCUGAACCUUGCUUUCUCCAUGUCAGGUCUUCUGUUCUAAGAAAAAACUCUUUUGUUGCAUCCACAUUAACCAUAUAUAUUUCUAUUUCCAUUUUCGAAUUGUAAUCUGUAGCUCAGUUUGGUGUGUCAAUUUCAGCUAGACUAAAUCAACCAUUCGGUCCUUAGUAAGUCGACUUUUCGUGUGUGUGUGUGUGUGUGUAGGAGGUUUAGCAGGCCUGACUUAAGAUCGAACCCUGAUGGUGUUUAGGCAUGCUCCGGUUGGAGAGCUUAUUUCCAGCGUUGGAGGUCUUUUCAGUUUUUCUAAAGGUGGAAAACUCUGUGCCCUACAUCCCACACACAGGGUGCUAAAAAUGUCCUCUCCCCGCUGCACCUCUCCUCUUCUUUGCUCACUCCUCUUGGUAACUCUAAGAAGAUUUUAAUCUGUUUUAUUUAUAUGCACAUACGGUCUUUGUGAUUAGGGGUCAAAUGUUUGGUUAACAUAUGGACUGAUUGGAAUGGUUAGAAAAAUACGAAUCACAUCACAGGAAGCCGUAAUAUACAGUUUUACCUUCAGCUUGAAUAAAUACACAUUGUUCAGUUCAUAUUUGACUCCAAUAGUUGUACUUCCAUAUAACAGACUUGUCCAAGUUAAACCACGAGAAUGUCAUGGGCUUGCUUGGCUACCGCGGAGAAGGGCAUUCUUUCAACGGCACUGUCGAUUGCUAGCAAACUGUCUAUUGUGUCGUUGAUUGAUAUCCAGACUUACUGUUUUUCGUUCAGUUUAAGGGCUCUCUAGGCUUAAGAUCUUUCUAGGAUAAUUGUGUCAUUGAAUCUAAAGGUACAUGAUCGUUUUCUCAGCUCAUGCAUCGAUAUGCAUUUGUUUCUUGGCUGACUUGUCCUACAUUUGUGAGGUUGUUGAGGAAGUUCAUUUCUUGCAGGAGGCGCAAAACUUGAGUUGCCUACAUAUGAGUUUGCCAGUUCACCGAAACUUAGAAUAAAGAGGGGAACUUUCUCCGUUUUGUUGUUUUUGCUCUUCUCAGAUUUUAGGCUGGGUGUAUUAACAUAUAUGCCACACACUAAAUUUAGAUCUCAGUGCAAGUUUAAAUAGGGAUGAAUCAUUGUGCCAUGUUGAAAAAAUAGAACUACAGAGAAGAAAGGAAAUUAUUAAAGAAGGGAUAUAGUUGAUUAGGUUGUUGUGGUGUUUCUUUGUAAAUAACAACAUUCUAACUUGCUGGUUUAAUCUAGGUAUGUGGGAUAUAGGAGAUACAAGGAGAUAUAUUUCAGUUGCAAUCGAGCUUUAUUUCAAAGUGAAACAUGGUAGACAUGCAUAGCAUGCUGGUGUUUUACUCUAUGCUUCUGGGCCGCCAUGGUGUCAAUUUUGAACUUGCAAAACAAACUGUAAAAUAUUUUAAUGCCUUGGGGCAUGAAGUUCUCUUUACCUCCUCUGAUUGCUUCAUCUCUGUUUAUGUAGCAGGUUCUACGUUCUCCUGUGUUGCUGCAUCUUGGUCUUCUGUUGCUUGAGGCCGUGGCACCGAUAUUCUCUCUGAUAGUACCCAAGUUCCAAUUCAAGGGAGCCAACAAGCGCGGCAUCCCUGUGUCCCGCGACCCCGCCGCGCUGCUAGCGAAGUACUCUGACCCGCUGGUCUACACGGUGCCGAUCAGGGUCCGUACAGGCCAUGAGAUCCUGCGCAUCUCCUCCUACCUGCUGCACAACCUGAAGAAGGUGACGGUCCCGUUCGUGGUCCUGCACGGCACCGCGGGCCGUGUGACGGACCCGCUGGCUUCACAGGAGCUCUACACGGAGGCCGCGUCGAGGCACAAGGACCUGCGUCUGUACGAGGGGUUCCUGCACGACCUGCUCUUCGAGCCCGAGCGCGACGAGAUCGCGGCCGACAUCAUCGGGUGGAUGGACCGGACGCUCGGCCUGCAAGCCGUAUGAAGGGCAGCUGUUGUCUGAAGAUGGGGGAGGAGCUCAACAUAAUGUGCGGAUCGCUCCGGUCAGAGCCAUGGGAUUGCAGCCAUGGGCUUCAUGGCAUGGCAUGGCAAGACAUGCAUGAUGGCUUUGGUCUGGUUCUGAUUGUAUUGUUUGCGGUGAUCCUCGUCUUACGAUGCUGCCGGUGCAGACCAGUGGACUGAAAAGCCAGUGGUUUGUGGUUUGUAUUAAUGCUACACUAUCUAUAAUAACAAAAGGGGUGAAAAGAAUGACGCGUACUGCUGGCCUGCAAAACCUUUCUCGAUCCUGUAAAGGUUGGUUGCUCCAAUUAUUGGCACUAGGUAUUCCAACCUGAAAAACCAAGCAGCUGCACGUAUCCUGGCGGUUAGCUGUCUCGUGGCCAGCAUGUGCCAACUGCCGAGUGGUUGGGAGGGACCGUUUUGUUGGCAGUUUUGAGAGUCAACAAAUGCGAGCGUAGAUUAUUGAUUGGACAUGUCCAUGGACAUUGUCAUAAUGGUCACCUUAUCGCAGUGUAUUAUUUUUGGAUCUCAUAUUCCUCAAGGUGCUCCAUCUUCUGAUUCGAUGUCGGCCGAUCUGAGAAAUAAGAGGAGGAAUAAUCCAGCAGAAGAAUUCGGUGAAGAAGAACAAGAAAAGAAUACCUUUAUCCUGAUAGGCAUGGAAACACUGGUUCGCAUUGAGUGCAUCAUCGCUAAUCAGCUACUAUUAGAGAGCAAGGGACAUAUAAGAAAUCUCCAGGCAACUUCACUUAGAUGCAUCAUCUUCUGCUAGGAGUCAGCUUGAAGAAUGACCUUCUCAGAUUAAUUCUUGGGAGACUGCAACUGACAUGUUGGAUGGGGAAUAACCAAAUUUGUGGACAAAGACAAAGAGUUCAUCGCAAGGGGUGGUGUUUAGGAUAUAUACACAAAACAGGAAACUUUUUUUGUACAGAACCAAAUUAUAUGAUGUAAUUGACCACUAUUUCUAAGAAAUGUUCAUCAUGUAUUAAGUACAUUUUAUUGUGUCACUUUUUUUUGAAGUGUAGCUUUAUUCAUCAAACAUCACAAAGUGUGCGAUAGAGUUCAUCAAACCAGGUUUUAUUGUGUCA